CCUUAAUCAUUUCCCACGGUAGCGACCACCUCUCUUUCUGUUUCCUCUCCAUGUUCUCUUAUCUCACUGACCCUUAUCAUUCCUAAAACCUUGCACAAAUUCGUGCAAGGUCACUAGAAAUCAAAACCAGACAUCUAUCCUGUCUCUUUCAACCAAAAAUCCCACCAGAUGUCAAACGGACUGAGCUAUGGACAUGGGCUUUAACCAAUGGCUCUUUUCUCUUCAACUGUCGACCUUUUCCACCAUAUUGGUGCCAAGGUAAAAAUAUCGACUCUACUUUCCCUCUGAUUUCCUCUACUUUUACUUUUUUUGCUUUCAUCUGCCUUCAAUCCAUACUUUUCACUAUCUGUGAAUUCAAAUGAAGCCCUAAGUCUUCAAUGCUACUAUAAAUAGAGCUUCUAACUCUCUCACCAAACACAAAGGAAAAAUAUUAAAAAAACACACAAACACACAUUAAAGUCUGAGAAAUUUCUUUUGGCUUAAGUAUUCUGAAGUGCUUCUCGAAUUUCUCUUUUCUUUUCUUUCAUUCAUGCUCGAGUUCGAUUACUGUAAGUUGAUUGUGAGGUUGGGUUCUUAAAUGAACACAUAUCAUCCUUACUUGGUUUGUUUCUCCAAAGAAGGUCAGUGAACACUGACCUCCCACUUUCAUUCCUCAAUUGCAUAUGUGGCUCUCUGCUUAUGAUGUCCACCUAUUAAUUGCAUGUUGUUCAUGAUAUUCAUCAGUAACAUGUGAGUCUUUUAUUGUAUUUUGUAUUUGUGUUAUCCUUGUUUUAAAAUUAAUGAUGCUUUCCUGAUGAUUAUCUCUGUGUUGUUGUUAAAUCUAUGAUGGUUGAUGAAAUUUGUUUCUCAUAACUUAGUUAGCUAAAAUGAUUCUACAUUGUUGUCAUCCUCAUCGGUAAUCUUGUUGAGCCUUCAUGCUAAGUUUAAUUUUACUCUAUGUUAUAUACUACAUGUGGUCUAUCCCUGUUGAUUGAGUAAUAACCAUAUUCAUACUAUCAUGUUGACUAAGUUGAUUGAACCAUAUUCCUUAAUUUUUCUUGAUAUCCUAUUUAACUUGUUAAAAUCUUUAUAGCUGAAGAAUUAUGCUAUCUUGAUCCUCAUGCCUAUGAUGUAUGUUGUACUGGUUUAGUUCAAUGACUGAUCCUCAUUACUGGUUUCGUUCAUGUUAUCAUGUUAAUAUGUUUACUUAGCUAUGUGACUCUAAUUGACAGCUUGUUUAUGACAUUAUUUACUUAGCUAUGUGAUUCUAGUUAAAUGCUUGAGUGUGAUACUGUGAUGUUCUACACAUUUAGGAUAAAACGAUUCAUGUGUCUAUUAUGAUAAUUUGAAAUAACAGGAAUCGUGUAGUGAACUUUUUUGGAAUGAAUUAUUAAUAAAUAUGCUUACAUGUCUCAAUAUAAACUUUCUAUAUCUUGUUUGUCAUGUCCUGGUCAGCUGCAGAAUGAAUGCCUCUACUUGUUAUUCCAUGACUAUUUGACAACACUGUUUAGAGGGCCCUCACUCAUGAAUCUGAGUAUAGUUCGUUACGAUAAUUUAAAAGUCUGAUUGACUGUGCAUUGUCAUGAUUAGAUACCAUGAUCAUUAGGUUUAGGUAAAAACUAGAAUUAGCCUUCCUAUUCAAGUUAAUUACCCAUUGAUCUAGUUGAUUGGUAUGCCCUUUGGGAACUCUGAAUACUGCCAUAAGUUUUCAAUAUAGGGAAUUCUUAGAUAUAUGCCUACUUGCUUUGGAAAGUUAUGUUGAAACUGUUAUGAUGUACGUAACAUGUUCUAGUGAUGUAAACCUACUUAAGGGAAGUUCAAAAGUGUUUAGACCUUCAAUGAAGAUAAUAAAAUAAAUGUAUAUGUUUAUCUUUGUCCACUACUGAUGCCUUAGACUACUUAAUGUGGCACUCCUGAGCUUGAAAUUGUAAGUGAUAGAGUAUGUUUACUAGCAGCAUGUAACAAACUACAUGUGCUAUGUGACCCUUGUUUGAUUGUGUCCUAGUAGUGAUUCUCACAAGUGGUUUGUACAUGUUGUGAUACUUUAGCAUCAACCUCAGGGCCUUUAAUGAUAUUGGAACUCUAAAAGUCCACAUGUAGUAACUAGUCUUUAUAUUUUGUGUUUUUGAUGAGAAGUCUUAAGGUCAAUACUGUGUUAGUCAUUAGCUGCUUAUGCUCUUGUACUCUAAUGAUGGUUGCAAUGCUUAAUAUGACUAUUUGGUACCUUUGUUUGGCUAAAUCAUUGAAAGGGUUUAUGAUGAACCUUCUGUACUUAUCUCUGUCAUGCUAACUAAGUGAAACUGCCGAGUUAACAUUUGUUUGUGCUCAAACCUUUGAGGAAGAACGAGGGUCAAUGUUCAAGGGUAUUUGGGUGUGAGCCUGGUUUUGUGGUUGAGGUACACUUUCCUGGCACAAGUACUGCUCGGGGUUCAUUAGACCCUCGUGAACUUUGAAGUGUCAGUGGUCCAUUGGGGGACUUCAUAAAUAAACAUGGUUCACCCUAAGCCCUUAGUCACUAACCUUAAUUAAUCUUCAUAGGGUUAACACAGAUGAAAAUUGAAUUUACUGUAUUCUUUAGAUUUUUUUGUUAUUAAUUAUUAUAAUUUUAUCUUACUUCAUCUUUAUAUUAACAUAUGCUAAUUAUCUUCUUUUUAUUUUUCUAUGCAUGAUUGUUUGGCCUGCUGAGUUCAUUUGGAACUCAGGCCCAAGCUCAGGGAAAUUGGGAUGCUUCCUCACCUAUUGGAGUGUAACGACCCGAUCAGUCAUUUUACUUUCUAGAUCUCCGUUCCCCUAAUUAAAACUCUCCAUAUGUUCUUUUACUAUUUUAUGACUUGCGGGGAUGGUUAGUUUGGGUUUGGAAGGGUUCGGAUUGAAAUCGAAAUACUUAGUUCCUUAAUAAUUGCUUAAAAGGGGUUAAUUUUGACUUGAGUCAACAUUUUAUGUAAAAGACCUCAGAACCGAGAUUUGACAUUCCCAAUACGUGUGUAUGAUGAUUUUGGACUUAGGCAUAUAUUCA